AGAUUCAAUUGCCUCGCCGGUUAUGACCAUUUAACAGUGAUGUGUUUAUAUAUGUAUUAGAGACAUUAUAUGGCGGUUGCGGGUUUAUUCACGUAGCUGUUCCUGUAUAGUGCUCCACUGUUUUAUGAUAUUAUAGUUUAUAGCCGGAGGCGUGCACUUCUCCCCUUGUAGGACGUCGUGACCCAUUGGAUUAUGUUGUCUAAGGCUUAUAAUGGAGACCGUGGCUUUUGUGACCGAAAGGGCUCGAAAUGACCCGGACUUAUGAUGUCCCGACAUCUAUCCGAUGGUAUAAUUAUGAUGAUAGAUCGCUAUAAAUGCGUACGAGCGUUCAGAUCCAUAACAAAUUCUUUGUAUGAAAUAGUGGAAAAUCGGAUUUAAUGCCGAUUCUACACAUAUGGUAUUGAUAGUUAUGGUAUUCUCGAACCGUUCUUUAUCAUCAGUCAACGGCGUUUAUGUUUUGGGUAAUUACAGGACCCGUCUUGAAACACGGACCAAGGAGUCUAGCAUGUGCGCAAGUCAUUGGGACUUUAUGAAACCUAAAGGCGUAAUGAAAGUGAAAUAUUUGUGAAUUUUCGUAAUUCACUGAAUUUAAGGGAAGAUGGGUAACGUUUUUUAUGUUACCUCGCAUUCCCGGGGCGUCGCGUACUUAUUGCAAGUUGCGGCGCACCAAGAGCGUACACGCUGGGACCCGAAAGAUGGUGAACUAUGCCUGGUCAGGAUGAAGUCAGGGGAAACCCUGAUGGAGGUCCGUAGCGAUUCUGACGU
rnacentral:rRNA from 1 species